GUGUAUAAUACAUUUAGCACCUGCAGUGAAGCACGAGCACAUUUUCCAGUUAAUUCUAAGGGUAUAUUUGUCCUUAAGAAUAAAUUCUAGAUGAAAACUCAAUAAACCUUAAGGACCUGAUCUUGAAACCUUGGGUCAGGACCGGUUGGCUCCGCUAUAUAUAGCUAAUACAAUCUCAACAGCAUUUCAGCAAAGGAAGCUGUAGAAUAUAUAUCCACCACAGUGCUUCUUUGAUCAAGAGAGAGAGAUCACAUCACCAGAAAGGAAUGACAAAAACAGGGGGACGGCCGGAAGGAGGAAAAAUUCGGAAAUCGCUGGGCUUACGUAAACUCUUUUGCGCAGCGCUAACAUGCUGUGGCGCAGUGAUGACAUGGUGGUCUAAUGUUUUGACCUGCUGGGGCUUCUUUCAGAGCUGUUGUGGGUGCUGUGGAUGCGAACCUUGCUGUGGGUGCUGUGCGUGCGAACCUUAGGGACCUGAUAAUGCCGGCUAUUGAACAGUCGGGAUGUUCCAGGUUUGUUGAUCACAAUGUCGUGUCUGUAAUGUUUUCUGUUUGAGUGUGACUAAGUGUUAUAUCAUUUAAUAAACCAGCGAGAUAUGUUAGCAUGUUGCAAACCGCAGUGUUGCAACUGGCCUAUCAGUGUUUUCCCCUUGAUAUCUACUCAAAUUCGGUGUGUAAUUUAAUCA